ACGUAAUCCUCAAGGUUCCACUUCCGUCUAUCUCUGGAAACAAAUGUUUCUGUCUAAAGGGGAAAAACAAAAGAGUGCUAGCUUAUGAUCUCCAAAUCUUUAUUACUUUAAAAUAUCUCCUUCACGAUAUUACUUUCAAAUGUACAUACCUCCGUUACAUGGACAUCAUGUCCUUGUAAUGAUCAUAUUGAAUAGUAUUACAUGUACUUGCCAUUCUUUUAGUAUCAACACACUAAUGCGAGUUAACUCAUCUUACUCAAGUGUAGAAAUACAACAUCUACAGGCAAGCUUCUAAAAUGCAUCAAUGAACAGGUUACAAGUUUAUGAACUUCAAGAUGAUCGGUGACCCAAUGACAACUGUGUGGAAGAGGACUCUGUCAAUGUCACAAAAUAGAUACAGGUAGAAUUGUGCCUCGCCAUCAGGCCAGGAGUACAGGUCACCAGAUUGACACUUCAUGUACUGAAGAUAUAUAAUUUUACCUUCAACAGAGGCUACCUGUAGUUAUUUGAGAAAAAUAGUAUUUGGAAGUUUGACUAUUUUUUUACACAAUUCAAAUUAUUACAAUUUAAUCAACAAAACUUGCUGGAUUGUUUCCACGAUAUUUUAUAUUAUUAUAUGAAAUCAUUUACUCAUGUACAUGUCUUGACAUUUUCUCAUUAAAGUAAGGGGGGUGGAUUACUAGGG